UGCCUGUCUACUCUUAUCUAUCCUUGGCCCACUAGAUGUAGCAAGGAGGGCAUAUGCUGCAGGUUCCUUUCAUUAAAGGCCUCCGAGUCAUUUGAAAUGGAUAGUUAGAACUUCUUCUAUAAGACUGGACAGAUGAACAAAAAAAUGUAUGUAUAUAACAUACCAUCAAAUUUCUCUGGAACAACACAAGUGUCAUCAUAAAAUUGCCUUGGACCUUUUUCAUACAUACAACCUGUAAUUUUAGGAAAAGCGGAUACAUUACUCACUUGAAACAGAUUAUUAAAAUACACUGCCCUUCCCAA